rnacentral:lncRNA from 1 species
UUCUUUUUUUUUUUUUUUUUUGAGAGAUAGGUAGCACGCUACCCGCUUCGUUUAUUUUAUUUAAAAAUAAACUUAGCUGAAAAUGUGAAUCAACUAUCGAAUUUGGGUCUCGAGUACCAACCACCAAGCCCUUUGCCACUUGCUCUAGGGACGAAGAAACUUAGCUGAAAAUGUGAAUCAACUAGGAUUUAAACUUGGGUCUCGAGUACCAACCACCAAGCCCUUUUACCUUAAUAUCAUGUUGCAGAAAUUUAGAAUGUUCUCUCUCUUCCAAAAAUGUGAGCUAUCAGAGAACAAUAUUUUUAAUAUUUAUAUUCAAUAUUCAAUACAAUGAACCGUAGACGAAGAAAAGUUUUCGACAGAGAGAG